AUUGAACGCUGGCGGCAUGCUUUACACAUGCAAGUCGAACGGCAGCGCGGGCUUCGGCCUGGCGGCGAGUGGCGAACGGGUGAGUAAUACAUCGGAACGUGCCCAGUAGUGGGGGAUAGCUCGGCGAAAGCCGGAUUAAUACCGCAUACGACCUGAGGGUGAAAGCGGGGGAUCUUCGGACCUCGCGCUAUUGGAGCGGCCGAUGGCAGAUUAGCUAGUUGGUGGGGUAAAGGCCUACCAAGGCGACGAUCUGUAGCUGGUCUGAGAGGACGACCAGCCACACUGGGACUGAGACACGGCCCAGACUCCUACGGGAGGCAGCAGUGGGGAAUUUUGGACAAUGGGCGAAAGCCUGAUCCAGCAAUGCCGCGUGUGUGAUGAAGGCCUUCGGGUUGUAAAGCACUUUUGGCGGGAACGAAAAGGACUGUGCCAAUACCACGGUUCGAUGACGGUACCCGCAGAAUAAGCACCGGCGAACUACGU
rnacentral:rRNA from 1 species